GAUGAAGAACGUAGCGAAAUGCGAUAAGUAAUGUGAAUUGCAGAAUUCCGUGAAUCAUCGAAUCUUUGAACGCACAUUGCGCCCCCUGGUAUUCCGGGGGGCAUGCCUGUCCGAGCGUCAUUGCAACCUUCAAGCGCGGCUUGUGUGUUGGGUCUCGUCCCCCGUGGACGGGCCCGAAAGGCAGUGGCGGCGUCCCGACAUGGUGCCCGAGCGUAUGGGAAUCCUCUUCCGCUCGAAUCGGCCCAUGCGGCGCUGGUCGUAACCAAAUUUUUUACCGGUUGACCUCGGAUCAGGUAGGGAUACCCGCUGAACUUAAGCAUAUCAAUACGGAGGA
rnacentral:misc_RNA from 1 species